CCAGACUCCUACGGGAGGCAGCAGUGGGGGAUAUUGCACAAUGGGGGAAACCCUGAUGCAGCGACGUCGCGUGGGUGAAGAAGCGCCUCGGCGCGUAAAGCCCUGUCAGCAGGGAAGAAAAUGACGGUACCUGAAGAAGAAGCCCCGGCUGACUACGUGCCAGCAGCCGCGGUAAUACGUAGGGGGCAAGCGUUAUCCGGAUUUACUGGGUGUAAAGGGGGCGCAGACGGCGAUGCAAGCCAGGAGUGAAAGCCCGGGGCCCAACCCCGGGACUGCUCUUGGAACUGCGUGGCUGGAGCGCAGGAGGGGCAGGCGGAAUUCCUGGUGUAGCGGUGAAAUGCGUAGAUAUCAGGAGGAACACCGGUGGCGAAGGCGGCCUGCUGGACUGCAACUGACGUUGAGGCUCGAAAGCGUGGGGAGCAAACAGGAUUAGAUACCCCCGUACA
rnacentral:rRNA from 1 species